GAAUUCAUAUAGUAUCUGCUUU
rnacentral:siRNA from 1 species